rnacentral:rRNA from 1 species
UACGAAGGGGGCUAGCGUUACUCGGAAUGACUGGGCGUAAAGGGCGCGUAGGCGGUUUGCUUAGUUAGGCGUGAAAUUCCUGGGCUCAACCUGGGGGCUGCGCUUAAUACAGGCAGACUGGAGUGUGAAAGAGGGUCGUGGAAUUUCCAGUGUAGAGGUGAAAUUCGUAGAUAUUGGAAAGAACACCGGUGGCGAAGGCGGCGACCUGGUUCAUUACUGACGCUGAGGCGCGAAAGCGUGGGGAGCAAACAGG